rnacentral:rRNA from 1 species
UGGGGAAUAUUGCACAAUGGGCGCAAGCCUGAUGCAGCAACGCCGCGUGAGGGACGACGGCCUUCGGGUUGUAAACCUCUUUUAGUAGGGAAGAAGCGAAAGUGACGGUACCUGCAGAAAAAGCACCGGCUAACUACGUGCCAGCAGCCGCGGUAAUACGUAGGGUGCGAGCGUUGUCCGGAAUUAUUGGGCGUAAAGAGCUCGUAGGCGGUCUGUCGCGUCUGCUGUGAAAACCCGAGGCUCAACCUCGGGCCUGCAGUGGGUACGGGCAGACUAGAGUGCGGUAGGGGAGAAUGGAAUUCCUGGUGUAGCGGUGGAAUGCGCAGAUAUCAGGAGGAACACCGAUGGCGAAGGCAGUUCUCUGGGCCGUAACUGACGCUGAGGAGCGAAAGCGUGGGGAGCGAACAGGAUUAGAUACCCUGGUAGUCCACGCCGUAAGCGUUGGGCGCUAGAUGUGGGGACCAUUCCACGGUUUCCGUGUCGCAGCUAACGCAUUAAGCGCCCCGCCUGGGGAGUACGGCCGCAA